CUGGAGACUCUGUGGUUGGAACCAUAAGCUGCUCAUCCAGGGCCUCCACUCCGAUUCUACUGCACAGAGGGCUGGCAACGGUAGCAUAGCCUAUCACAGGAUCGCAGUGGGCAAUAUUAGAAAACCUAGCACUUUUCAAUCUGGAGGGCAGAAUGACAGACACAGCAACCUUCAGAAGGAAAACAUCCUCUUUCAAAGGCUGCAACGAAUGGCAUUGUAAUCCAAAGAGCUGGUGCCCUUUGGCACCACCCAGGAGUUGAACUCUUCUUCCCUCUGAUUCUAACCAUGCUUUAAGCAACAGAUGUUCGCAGAUGCCUGUACCUGCUGUUUCUAAUGUUUCUCAAGGAACCCCCCUGAACCCCACAGAGUCCAUCCUGCUGCUCCAAAAGCUCACUUCUCAGCACAGAUGAAGGUCACUCCCACCCUGUGCUGGGGAGCCAGUAUCAUCUCCUUAGAGGACAGAUCAUGAGAUUCUGAGGCUCAGGGGCAACAGACCUAUGGCCAUGUAAGGCGUUGGAAGAGCUGCCGUGUUCACAGGAGCCCCGAGUAACCACCACCCUGAGAGAGCAAGAGAGGAGCCACUCUGACAGGGGAGAGAGCUGACAACGGCUGGGAUUGAGGAAAAUCAGAAGGCUGAGUUUCAAAAAGUACAAUAAACAAAAUAAAACAAAUGGAAAGGAACAAAGAAUAGAUGUGAGACCACACGGCCAGAGUCAUCCCAGGACAAAGCUCUGGCUCCCAUCUGUUCACCAGAGAAAAUACUAAACAUGCUAAAUAAAACAGGACUUAGAGGUUUCGGUUGUUGUUGUUGUUGUUGUUGGCUUAAUGGAGAAAAUGGAGAGUUCAUCAAAUUCAUUAAAAAACAAACAAACAAACAAACAAGACACUGAAGGCAUCCAAUCUCCUGGACCUGGAGUUGGGAGUCACCCGAAAGGAGUGCUGGGAACCGAACGCAGGUCCUUUGGAGGAGU
rnacentral:lncRNA from 1 species